CUCCCGUCUGGCGCCGAGCCGAGGCCUCCGCCCGUUUCCUCAGACAUUUAACCUCUCGGUGUCUUAAUAUCUCUAAGGUUUGUGAAGUGAAACUCUUAGCCUUCACUUUGCCUAACUUCACACCGAAGUAACCCAAGUUUUCUUUUCAAACCUGCCACGUCUCGUUAAAUUUGUAAAUCUCUGAACUCUAAAGCCUCAUACAAAGAAAAGUUCCAUGAGAAUACUACACGAUGCCAAUUUCUACUGUUAAGAACGCGGUAACAGAAAGAGAGGAAGGGAGAGGAAGCCUGAAACCAGGCAUAUGUCCUGACCUGGAAUUAAACCAGCAACCUUUUGAUGCACGGGAUGAAGCCCAACCAACUGAGCCACACCGGCCAGGACUGUACUGGGACAUCUAGUUCAAGAUAAUUCGAUGUCCUAGCUGGUUUGGCUCAGUGGAUAGAGCGUUGGCCUGCAGACUGAAGGGUCCCGGGUUCGAUUCCAGUCAAGAGCACAUGCCUGAGUUGCAGGCUUGACCCCCAGUAGGGGGCAUGCAGGAGGCAGCUGAUCAAUGAUUCUCUCUCAUCAUUGAUGUUUCUCUCUGUGUCUCUCCCCUUUCUCCCUUCUUCUCUGAAAUCA